AACUCUCAUUAGAAUGCUUAAAGCUACUGAUGCUUAAAACCAUAUUUUUAGACCAAUGACACUAUUGUCAUUUUUACUUUUUAAUCAUAUAGGAGAAGUGAUAGUUCAAAUAGAAAAUCUUCGCCUGAAUUUUAUUCAAAAAUCUUCAUCCGAGUUCAAUAGAAAUCUACCGUUAGGCUGCCAUGCUUAAACACAUACUUCACCUUGUGAGCAAAAUCUUGAAUCUCCGGUAAUCUUUCCACCGCCAGGCUACAAGCAUUCACAGCUUGGUCCAACCCAAUGGACAUGUCGGUUCGGGAUUUCCUACUGGGCUGGCUCGAUUAAUUGGGAAAAUUGUUAAUUAUGGUAAUCAGGCUUGACGUACUGAUUAUUUCCAACAAAUACAUGUGUUGUAGCUUAUUUACUAUUGAAAGGAAAAUGUACAAUUUUCAAAAUUACGUGAUUAUAUUGAGACGUAGCUUCCACAGU
rnacentral:lncRNA from 1 species